CCUACGGGGGGCAGCAGUGAGGAAUAUUGGUCAAUGGGCGCGAGCCUGAACCAGCCAAGUAGCGUGAAGGAUGACUGCCCUACGGGUUGUAAACUUCUUUUAUAAAGAAAUAAAGUGAGGCACGUGUGCCUUUUUGUAUGUACUUUAUGAAUAAGGAUCGGCUAACUCCGGGCCAGCAGCCGCGGUAAUACGGGGGAUGCGAGCGUUCUCCGGAUUUAUUUGGUUUAAAGGGUGGGUUGGCGUGCUUUUAAGUCAGCGGUAAAAAUUCGGGGCGCAACCCCGUCCGGCCGUUGAAACUGGGGGCCGUGAGUGGGCAAGAAGAAGGCGGAAGGCGUGGUGUAGCGGUGAAAUGCAUAGAUAUCACGCAGAACCCCGAUUGCGAAGGCAGCCUUCCGGCGCCCUACUGACGCUGAGGCACGAAAGUGCGGGGAUCGAACAGGAUUAGAUACCCGGGUAGUC
rnacentral:rRNA from 1 species